rnacentral:lncRNA from 1 species
AUGGAGGCACUGCUUUGCAUUGUCCAGUGGCAAAGAGUCAUGGUCCUUUACACGACAAGUUCCUUACGUUUGCCACUGCGUAUAACUCGGGAGAACUCUAACAACCUCCCGGGAGCUGCUGAUCUCCACGUUUCUGAGACACAUGCGCGCCACAGCAGUGGUGCUGACAGGACGUGCUGCAGCCUCCAGUGCCACCCUGAGCACCCCCCUCACAAAGCUGAGAUGAGUUUCUCUCCUCCUUCCUGUCCCACCAGAGGCAAGGUCAAGAACUUUCUGCUGAUUUACAAGAGCCCAUGUCACUUCUGCACUUCAGUAAACCCGGACGGGGACUCGUCGGCAAAGGAAGCAGAUGGUGUCCGGCGUCUGGCUUCACUUGGAGUCAAUGCCAGGGACUCCCUGCAGAUUUACAGGCGCCCCAGUCCGUUCUCCAGUACUGUUCACCCGGAAGGGGGUUCGACGGCACGGGUAAGUUGCAGUCACGAGUGCUGUACCCCGAGGACAGGGCCGUGUGGAGAAUGUGUGGUCUGA